rnacentral:rRNA from 1 species
GCCGGCGACCGGCGCACGGGUGAGUAACACGUAUGGAACCUGCCCGCCACAGGGGGAUAACCCGGGGAAACCCGGCCUAAUACCCCAUGCCGCCCGGACCGGGCAUCCGGACCGGGCGAAAGGAGGAAUCCGGUGGCGGCUGGGCAUGCGGCGCAUUAGCUUGACGGCGGGGUAACGGCCCACCGUGGCGACGAUGCGUAGGGGUUCUGAGAGGAAGGCCCCCCACACUGGAACUGAGACACGGUCCAGACUCCUACGGGAGGCAGCAGUGAGGAAUAUUGGUCAAUGGGCGGAAGCCUGAACCAGCCAAGUCGCGUGAGGGAAUAAGGCCCUACGGGUCGUAAACCUCUUUUGCCGGGGAGCAAGGACCGGGACGAGUCCCGGCCCGGAGAGUACCCGGAGAAAAAGCAUCGGCUAACUCCGUGCCAGCAGCCGCGGUAAUACGGAGGAUGCGAGCGUUAUCCGGAUUUAUUGGGUUUAAAGGGUGCGUAGGCGGGCUUUUAAGUCAGCGGUAAAAAUUCGGGGCUCAACCCCGUCCGGCCGUUGAAACUGGGGGCCUUGAGUGGGCGAGAAGAAGGCGGAAUGCGUGGUGUAGCGGUGAAAUGCAUAGAUAUCACGCAGAACCCCGAUUGCGAAGGCAGCCUUCCGGCGCCCUACUGACGCUGAGGCACGAAAGUGC